UACGUAGGGGGCAAGCGUUGUCCGGAAUCAUUGGGCGUAAAGAGCGUGUAGGCGGCCCGAUAAGUCCGCUGUGAAAGUCCAGGGCUCAACCCUGGAAUGCCGGUGGAUACUGUCGGGCUCGAAUCCGGAAGAGGUGAGUGGAAUUCCUGGUGUAGCGGUGAAAUGCGCAGAUAUCAGGAGGAACACCAAUGGCGAAGGCAGCGCACUGGGACGGUAUUGACGCUGAGACGCGAAAGCGUGGGGAGCAAACAGG
rnacentral:rRNA from 1 species